UGCGAGAGCUGAAGUCUCUGUAACCCUGGCUCCCUCCAAGGACCAAGGGCCCAGCAGCACCCGGCCCUUGGAGCUGGACAGACAGCGGGAGCUGGGCUGGGGAUCCAGCAAGACGAGGAGCCGGAGCAAAGGUCGGCAGGAAGACAAGCGGGACCCCUCUGUGGGGCACCCCACCAGCAGAGGCGGCAGUGAGCAGGCUGCAGUCAGAAUGAAAUCCCAGUAGAGGCCAGGCCGGACACAGCCAGAGCUGGAGGAGAGGAUUUGUCGCCCGGCCCAGGGAGUCUCUCAGGGACAGGACGUCUGGAGGGCCCAGGCUGGGGGAUCGGGGCGGGGAGCAGCUAGGACGCCCCUCAGUGGCCGGCCGGCCAGGAGCACGGGGCAGCGAGUGUCACAGCUUUCCCAGCU